rnacentral:rRNA from 1 species
AAAUUGAAGAGUUUGAUCAUGGCUCAGAUUGAACGCUGGCGGCAGGCCUAACACAUGCAAGUCGAACGGUAACAGGAAGCAGCUUGCUGCUUUGCUGACGAGUGGCGGACGGGUGAGUAAUGUCUGGGAAACUGCCUGAUGGAGGGGGAUAACUACUGGAAACGGUAGCUAAUACCGCAUAACGUCGCAAGACCAAAGAGGGGGACCUUCGGGCCUCUUGCCAUCGGAUGUGCCCAGAUGGGAUUAGCUAGUAGGUGGGGUAACGGCUCACCUAGGCGACGAUCCCUAGCUGGUCUGAGAGGAUGACCAGCCACACUGGAACUGAGACACGGUCCAGACUCCUACGGGAGGCAGCAGUGGGGAAUAUUGCACAAUGGGCGCAAGCCUGAUGCAGCCAUGCCGCGUGUAUGAAGAAGGCCUUCGGGUUGUAAAGUACUUUCAGCGGGGAGGAAGGCGAUAAGGUUAAUAACCUUGUCGAUUGACGUUACCCGCAGAAGAAGCACCGGCUAACUCCGUGCCAGCAGCCGCGGUAAUACGGAGGGUGCAAGCGUUAAUCGGAAUUACUGGGCGUAAAGCGCACGCAGGCGGUCUGUCAAGUCGGAUGUGAAAUCCCCGGGCUCAACCUGGGAACUGCAUUCGAAACUGGCAGGCUAGAGUCUUGUAGAGGGGGGUAGAAUUCCAGGUGUAGCGGUGAAAUGCGUAGAGAUCUGGAGGAAUACCGGUGGCGAAGGCGGCCCCCUGGACAAAGACUGACGCUCAGGUGCGAAAGCGUGGGGAGCAAACAGGAUUAGAUACCCUGGUAGUCCACGCCGUAAACGAUGUCGACUUGGAGGUUGUGCCCUUGAGGCGUGGCUUCCGGAGCUAACGCGUUAAGUCGACCGCCUGGGGAGUACGGCCGCAAGGUUAAAACUCAAAUGAAUUGACGGGGGCCCGCACAAGCGGUGGAGCAUGUGGUUUAAUUCGAUGCAACGCGAAGAACCUUACCUACUCUUGACAUCCAGAGAACUUUCCAGAGAUGGAUUGGUGCCUUCGGGAACUCUGAGACAGGUGCUGCAUGGCUGUCGUCAGCUCGUGUUGUGAAAUGUUGGGUUAAGUCCCGCAACGAGCGCAACCCUUAUCCUUUGUUGCCAGCGGU